UACGUAGGGUGCGAGCGUUAAUCGGAAUUACUGGGCGUAAAGCGUGCGCAGGCGGUUUGUUUCGGCGGGGGUGAAAUCCCCGGGCUUAACCUGGGAAUGGCCAUGGAAACUGGCGAACUGGAGUGUGGCAGAGGGGGGUGGAAUUCCGCGUGUAGCAGUGAAAUGCGUAGAGAUGCGGAGGAACACCAGUGGCGAAAGCGCCUUUCUGGUCCUUAACUGACGCUGAGGCGCGAAAGCAUGGGGAGCGAACGGG
rnacentral:rRNA from 1 species